rnacentral:lncRNA from 1 species
AUGGUGGGGCGGGGGCCCUGUGGCAAAAGGGACUACCUCCAGAAAAAUCCUUUCAUCCUCCAAAGUAAAGGUCCUCCUGUCCACGGGCCUGCCCUUGUGACUCAAGAGGAAGGAACAAAGCAUUUAACAGUCUUGUUUCUGGGCGAUGAGACUGAGUUUCCUCGCAUUUUACGCCACGCGCUUACAGCUGGCUUCCUCCAGCCCUGGAGGCAGCCGCCCUCGCCCUGGAGGAGCCUGCACCAAGGAGGGGAGGAGCUCCCGCUCGCUCCAGUGACUGCAAGUGCAGGAGUGACACAGGUUGAUCCGCCUGGAGAGCCCCAGAUCCCACGUCACACAGUGAUGGACGAUGUUCCGGGUGCUUCAGACUUCACCGGGAAAGGAUGACCUCACUCCUAGCUUGAGCUGAGGCAGAGAGUUGGAGCAGGAAGAUUGUACCCCUACUGUCCGCUUCGGGCUCUUCAAGGCUGAGAAAACGAAGUCUUAGAGAGAAUGAGUUAGACCACAGGUGUUUUAAUUAAAACAAAGUGGGUGGUUGGUUGGUUUUUUUUCCAAAGGGGCAAUUAUGUGCUGUGAGUUUGUUUCUCUUACAUUUGAUAGUUCAUCUGCUAGAUAGGUUAUUAGUAAAACCACCUUUCAAAAACCCAGCAUACUAAUCAUGGCCUUCUACCUGCCCACCAACAAACUUACUUAUAUUAAGUGAGCCAUACACAAUUAAAAACACUUUUAUCCCAACCCACGGAACAUUUGGUGCCUAUUCAGACUUAAGCUUGAGUUCUGGGGGCAGAUCCAGUGGGAAUAGUUCUGGGUCUGCUUCCUGGAGUUUUCACACAUCUUGAAUUCCCACUAGAGUGUCCACCUUGGUGUUUCCCACCUACUAAUCAAAUCUACCUUUGCUUACGGUGUUACUCCGAGAAAUAAUUUUAGUAUGAGUUCUUGAUCUCCUAUCAUCUGGGUAGUAAUGGAGGUUUUAUUAUUAUUUUUCUUGGCUCGUCAUGUUUUUGAGGUCACAGAAAUCUUUGCAUCAUCCUGUGUGGACAUUGUCUCUUGGCAACUUUUAUAAGAAACAUACUUGUUACUUUCCAUCUGCACCAGCAGGGUAGAGUUUACUUCCAAAUAUGUUUGUGUAUUUUUAUGUCAAGUCUGAAUCCUGUAGGCUGUAAAGUACCCAAACUUUUUUUUUAAAUACUGGCAAUGAUCUUUCUUUAUUUUUUCUUUAAGUAGGGAGUUCUCCCUCUUUGUACAAUUUUUUUUUAUUUCGGCAUAUUAUGG